CCCAGCGCUGCAUGAAAUGAGGAGAGGGAGAGAGCGAGAGACAGAGAAUGAGAGAAACAGAAAGAGAGAGAGAGGGCGGGGAAAUUGAGAAAGACAGGGGCGAAGGAAAUGUAAAGGCGGAGGGAGGGCCGGACAGAAAGGGUUGAAGAAGGAGAGGAAGAAGGACGCCGGAUCAGAGGAGGCAGAGGCAGAGAGAGUGAAAGAUGGAGAAGUGGGACAAGUGCGGUCAGACGUCGACAGCGAUGCCGCUGAAAUUCGGCCCAGAGCCGAGGGAGGAAGACUGACUGGCGGAGAUGUCCAUCGCACAUGUGCAAAGUCUAAAUGCUUGAAGAUGCCUGGCAGUGCAGAUCAGGAGGGUCCCAUUUUGGAAAGGAGACUGAAUGCACAGUCCAAUCACAAAAACCGAUGAAUGUGAAGAGGACUGUGGGAUGUAGAAGAAGCAACUGAGUGCAGAUGUUUUCCAGCUGGUGCUGUAAGUAGAUUGAUGUGAUUUCAUUUCAUACUAUCAGUAUUAAAUUUCAGAUUACAGAGAUAAACUCAUCACAUAAUGUGAUGUUAUGUUAUGUUAGCAGUGACAAAAAAGGAAAUCUCCUGAACCACUGAAAUGCAGCUGUUGCUCUUAUGUGUCUCCUCUGUGUUUUAUCUUUGAUAUCAUUGCCAUGUGUGUAAUUGUAUUAAGAGUACAAGUAAUAAAACUACAAUUUAAAAAUUUGUCUUUGUGUUUCGAUGUGUUUCUUCUUCUGGAGUUAUGUGGUAAACUCUUGAGUUAAGUCUACAGGUUAUUGUAUCAAGUAAUGAAGUUAUUU
rnacentral:lncRNA from 1 species